UAUUUUUAAAGCUAUUAAGGAAUACCCUCUACUUUAACAUGGAGGCACUUGCUGUGACUUCAUAAAAAAAUAAGUGCUUCCAUGUUUUAGUGCGGUGGUUCCUUUUUAAACCUCAACAUUGUG
rnacentral:precursor_RNA from 8 species